rnacentral:misc_RNA from 1 species
GAACGCACCUUGCACCUUUUGGUAUUCCGAAAGGUAUGCCCGGUUGAGUAUUAUGAACAUCUCAAUCCUCUGGCUUCUGAUCGCAAAGGUCGCACGUUCGGCGAAGUCGUCUGUCGGGACGACGGUAGCUGAAGUGCGACUUGGAAGCCUGUUGGACUUGGACUUGAGCGACACGUCGGUCCUCCACGAUCGACCCGCUUGAAAUGUAUUAGCUGGCGACCCGCCUUACGGUUCCACUCGGCGUAGUAAGUUCUAUUCGUCGAGGACACCUCUUUCGAGGUGGCCGAAAGCGCGCGUUUGAAGCCGCUUCCAGUCGUCUUUGGACGCUUUGAAUCUUUAAUCUCAACUCGGGUAGGACUACCCGCUGAACUUAAG